GGACCCGCACAAGCGGUGGAGCAUGUGGUUUAAUUCGACGCAACGCGAAGAACCUUACCAGGGCUUGACAUCCCCUGCUCGCUGUGGAAACACAGUUUUUGAGCCUUCGGGCUCAACAGGGAGACAGGUGGUGCAUGGUUGUCGUCAGCUCGUGUCGUGAGAUGUUGGGUUAAGUCCCGCAACGAGCGCAACCCCUAUUUUAGUUGCCAGCACGUAAUGGUGGGAACUCUAAAGAAACUGCCGGUGACAAACCGGAGGAAGGUGGGGAUGACGUCAAAUCAUCAUGCCCUUUAUGUCCUGGGCUACACACGUGCUACAAUGGCUGGUACAGAGGGCAGCGAAACCGCGAGGUGAAGCGAAUCUCAAAAGCCAGUCUCAGUUCGGAUUGCAGGCUGCAACUCGCCUGCAUGAAGUCGGAAUCGCUAGUAAUCGCGAGUCAGCAUAUCG
rnacentral:rRNA from 1 species